GCGGGUGUGGCGAAAUUGGCAGACGCACCAGAUUUAGGUUCUGGCGCCGAGAGGCGUGGGGGUUCAAGUCCCUCCACCCGCACCA
rnacentral:tRNA from 3 species